rnacentral:piRNA from 1 species
UNGCAACAGGUGGAGGUCUGGGCUCAGCAA